CAGUCGCCACGGUACUACGUAGGUGGCAAGCGUUAUCCGGAAUUAUUGGGCGUAAAGCGCGCGUAGGCGGUUUUUUAAGUCUGAUGUGAAAGCCCACGGCUCAACCGUGGAGGGUCAUUGGAAACUGGAAAACUUGAGUGCAGAAGAGGAGAGUGGAAUUCCAUGUGUAGCGGUGAAAUGCGCAGAGAUAUGGAGGAACACCAGUGGCGAAGGCGACUUUCUGGUCUGUAACUGACGCUGAUGUGCGAAAGCGUGGGGAUCAAACAGGAUUAGAUACCCCCGUAGUCCCUGUCUCUUAUAC
rnacentral:rRNA from 1 species